CUGCUGCCUCCCGUAGGAGUCUGGUCCGUGUCUCAGUACCAGUGUGGGGGGCCUUCCUCUCAGAACCCCUACGCAUCGUCGGCACGGUGGGCCGUUACCCCGCCGUCUACCUAAUGCGACGCAUGUCCAUCCUAUGCCGGAUCUCUCCUUUAACCUCCCGGGAAUGCUCCCAAAAGGUGUUACGCGGUAUUAGGCCGGAUUUCUCCGGGUUAUCCCCCUGCAUAGGGCAGGUUACAUACGUGUUACUCACCCGUGCGCCGGUCGCCGG
rnacentral:rRNA from 1 species